GACCAGCGGACAGCUUUGCUUUUUCGGGUAGGUACAUGUCAUGGCCUAGACCUCGGUAGGUAGAGAAGCUGCAUGUUGCCUGCUAUCCAAAAUAGAGAGCCGUCCCGGACGCCAUUGAUUUCAUCGCUCUCGCCGCCGUCACUACCUCAAGAUGCUCUGCCCAAAUCGUCACUCCAGCCAACUCAACCGCCCUCCACCUUGCGCGCCUGCGUUCUUCAAGCAUGCCGCUGCCCGCCGUUGCUGAUGAGCGAGAGUUGGGUGUCGAUGACGCCCCUGCUCUGUACCGCUUGUCUUCUCUCCCCCCUCUCCUUUGCCUUUGCCACGCGCACAUGCAAUCGCUGCCGCCAGGAAGCCUGUCAGCUCCACCGCGCUGCCGCUUUCCCUGCCGGUAAUCUUCUGUGUGCGCGGCGGCUGCUGCGUCGCACACCGCGCCGCCGGGAGGCCUGACAGCUCCACCACGCCCGUCGUGGCCUAGCGCCAUUUCCACCGCGCUGCCGCACUCGCUCAGACAAUGGCUGGCCAUGUUCUCCGUCAGCCCGAACCGCUGACGACGGCUGCGGCAACAUUAUAGGGCGCCGACAGCCACCCGGGGAGGUGAAGAUCGCAUGUCUUCUUAACUUCACCAACGGCCUAUCGUCGUGCUGCGGCAGCCGGGCCGCCGGGAGGAUGGACGUGCACGUCCGCUCUGAACCAUGCCGCGCGCACGCCACACGGGAGCUGGUUGAGCGGUACGUCGGCGCCAGCGACCACAUCACCGUAAGACGGUCGACGGCCGGACCAGCUGCAUAAGGGUCGUCGCGGAGAUGAAGCCGACCAUGAUGGGAGAAUGCUGUCGAGGAACAGAGACGAGGUGGAGACGGCAAUUGCAGAGCUAGCAUCGGAAUGGAAGACGGGGGUGGACGCGGCCAAUGAGAUCCAGUGGGAGGACUCCGCAGCAGCCUGCUUCUUGCGCCUCGUCGUUGCUGGCGUCGACACAUAUCGGGCUCCUUGCAGAUUAUUAUCAGUUUAUGGUCGGCGGGCGGGACAGGUCCAGGAGGGACAUCUUGUCUGACGAGGCGAGUUAGAUCGUCCCAGAUAUUCAGUUUGAGUUGAUCUAAAAAAAUAUUCAGUUUGUAAAGAACAAAAGCUGCUCUCAACUGGAUAUGGUGUCUUGUUUCCAAACACAAAAGUAGAGUGUUCCUGACGAAAAUGCCAAUCUAGCAAUCACAUAGGAGUAGUAUUCAUUAAGCUAGAAACUUAGGCGUUAAUUUAGAAUUUUAGGUACAUUUGCAACUUAAGUCUUUACAUUACUGAGCUGCAAUCGCAUAGGCAGCCAGCGUAAUUACUAUCUGAAACAACACGGCGAAAAGGACAAUGGCCGGCGACGUGAAGUUCACGUACGUGUUCGUGCGGCCGCCAGCGGCGAGCAGCUGAGCC